rnacentral:misc_RNA from 1 species
GAAAACAUCUCAUUACAAUACAAUGACUUCUAAACUGAAAAGGAAAUACAGAAGAAUAGGCAAACAAUAAAUAAUACAUAAUCAAAGAUAUCUUGGUUAGAGAAGUGUAGGAAGGAAUGCUAAGGCUAAGCCAAGUGGAAAUGCAAGAUGAAGGUGGUCGAAGCUCGAAGCCCUAUUCCCGCUGUUCCCCGGGGUACCGGUGGUGGCAGAGUCUCCUGCAUCCGGUGGUUGAACGCCUGGUGCUGGUGCUGGUGCUGGACUAUUUGCUGAUCCCACUGGAUAUCCCAAAAGAGAACAGAGAGAGACGGGAGGAGUGGAGACAUUGCAGGCGGAAGGAAGCUUCAUAGCUCUAUCAACAUCAAUGGUUAAUCCAACUUUAUUAGGAUCACUAAGCAGCUGGCAAAGGCAGCGAGGGCUACUCUCCACCAGCUGCUUAGUGAU